AGUGUGAAAUACAAAAAAAAAAACAGUGCUUUGGCUGUGGAGGAAGCUGCAAAGAUCCGUGCCAUGACAUGUGAAGAGGAGCCCACAAUCUGCAUCAUGAAAACUCGUGAGUUGCUGUCAAAGGCUCAGUUGCUGAUGUCUAGCAUAGAGGAACUGCUGGACCUUUGCACAUCACCAGGCCCCUCCAACCAGAGACGGUGCAGAAUGAUAGGUGUAGAGGAGCGUGAGGCCAGCGUAGAGGAGGACGGAGAGACCUUGGUCAUAGACGGCUUCAGGUUUGAGAGUGCGGUCAGCAGGGAGGACCUGAGGAGGCUGAGACCACCGGCUGGUAGAGGAGGAGGUGGCUUGAGUGAUGGCCACCGCAGUGGUUUGAUCACACAAGGUCAACAAGGUCAAAGGGCUGGCAGAGGUAACUGGCAGACGGAGAGCCAACCAAUGACACUUUGUACAAAUGAUGGAAGACAGGCUGACAACUGACAUGUGCAGCUCUUUACAGCGGCGAGACGAAACAGUACAUGACCCCAUGUUGUAAUGAAGAUAUCGGUUGUUUUACCGUCGAUAAGCUUUCCAAUUGUUAAUGAAUGCUGCCGCAAGAAGACGUUACGAGUUAUUUGUUUCUUGUUUUUCAGAUAAAACAGUUUUGAAUUGCCAUAACUCAACGUUUGCAUGUAUCAGUGUUGCGUGUGUGUUCAAAGUGCUGUAUUAUAUCGGAGAGAAUGUUUCAAGUUAAAGAUCGAAUACUUUGCAUUACUUAUUUAACGACUCUUGUUCAAACCAGUAUCUCGCAUUUUUCUGCAGUGUGAUCCGAAUGGGAACAGUAGCCCACCAGCAUUCCAUCCUAUUGUGUAUUUAUUUAAUUUGUGUGGGACACACAAACGCCUUGAAUGUCCCGUGUACAACGACACACUGCGUAUAGGUUAGUUGGGGGACAUAGCUUCCUGUUUGAUUACACUAGAGUCCUUCCUG